rnacentral:rRNA from 1 species
UACGGGGGGAGCAAGCGUUGUUCGGAUUUACUGGGCGUAAAGGGCGCGUAGGCGGCGUGGCAAGUCACUUGUGAAAUCUCCGGGCUUAACUCGGAACGGUCAAGUGAUACUGCUGUGCUAGAGUGCGGAAGGGGCAACUGGAAUUCUUGGUGUAGCGGUGAAAUGCGUAGAUAUCAGGAGGAACACCGGUGGCGAAGGCGUCCAUCUGGCCCGAUACUGACGCUGAGGCGCGAAAGCUAGGGGAGCGAACGGG